UACGAAGGGGGGCUAGCGUUGCUCGGAAUUACUGGGCGUAAAGCGCACGUAGGCGGCUUUCUAAGUCGGGGGGUGAAAUCCUGGAGCUCAACUCCAGAACUGCCUUCGAUACUGAAGAUCUUGAGUUCGGGAGAGGUGAGUGGAACUGCGAGUGUAGAGGUGAAAUUCGUAGAUAUUCGCAAGAACACCAGUGGCGAAGGCGGCUCACUGGCCCGAUACUGACGCUGAGGCACGAAAGCGUGGGGAGCGAACAGGG
rnacentral:rRNA from 1 species